GACGAACGCUGGCGGCGUGCCUAAUACAUGCAAGUAGAACGCUGAAGAGAGGAGCUUGCUCUUCUUGGAUGAGUUGCGAACGGGUGAGUAACGCGUAGGUAACCUGCCUUGUAGCGGGGGAUAACUAUUGGAAACGAUAGCUAAUACCGCAUAACAAUGGAUGACACAUGUCAUUUAUUUGAAAGGGGCAAUUGCUCCACUACAAGAUGGACCUGCGUUGUAUUAGCUAGUAGGUGAGGUAAUGGCUCACCUAGGCGACGAUACAUAGCCGACCUGAGAGGGUGAUCGGCCACACUGGGACUGAGACACGGCCCAGACUCCUACGGGAGGCAGCAGUAGGGAAUCUUCGGCAAUGGGGGCAACCCUGACCGAGCAACGCCGCGUGAGUGAAGAAGGUUUUCGGAUCGUAAAGCUCUGUUGUAAGUCAAGAACGGGUGUGAGAGUGGAAAGUUCACACUGUGACGGUAGCUUACCAGAAAGGGACGGCUAACUACGUGCCAGCAGCCGCGGUAAUACGUAGGUCCCGAGCGUUGUCCGGAUUUAUUGGGCGUAAAGCGAGCGCAGGCGGUUUGAUAAGUCUGAAGUUAAAGGCUGUGGCUCAACCAUAGUUCGCUUUGGAAACUGUCAAACUUGAGUGCAGAAGGGGAGAGUGGAAUUCCAUGUGUAGCGGUGAAAUGCGUAGAUAUAUGGAGGAACACCGGUGGCGAAAGCGGCUCUCUGGUCUGUAACUGACGCUGAGGCUCGAAAGCGUGGGGAGCGAACAGGAUUAGAUACCCUGGUAGUCCACGCCGUAAACGAUGAGUGCUAGGUGUUGGAUCCUUUCCGGGAUUCAGUGCCGCAGCUAACGCAUUAAGCACUCCGCCUGGGGAGUACGACCGCAAGGUUGAAACUCAAAGGAAUUGACGGGGGCCCGCACAAGCGGUGGAGCAUGUGGUUUAAUUCGAAGCAACGCGAAGAACCUUACCAGGUCUUGACAUCCCGAUGCUAUUUCUAGAGAUAGAAAGUUACUUCGGUACAUCGGUGACAGGUGGUGCAUGGUUGUCGUCAGCUCGUGUCGUGAGAUGUUGGGUUAAGUCCCGCAACGAGCGCAACCCCUAUUGUUAGUUGCCAUCAUUCAGUUGGGCACUCUAGCGAGACUGCCGGUAAUAAACCGGAGGAAGGUGGGGAUGACGUCAAAUCAUCAUGCCCCUUAUGACCUGGGCUACACACGUGCUACAAUGGUUGGUACAACGAGUUGCGAGCCGGUGACGGCGAGCUAAUCUCUUAAAGCCAAUCUCAGUUCGGAUUGUAGGCUGCAACUCGCCUACAUGAAGUCGGAAUCGCUAGUAAUCGCGGAUCAGCACGCCGCGGUGAAUACGUUCCCGGGCCU
rnacentral:rRNA from 1 species